AUGGCUCAGAUUGAACGCUGGCGGCAUGCCUUACACAUGCAAGUCGAACGGCAGCACGGGAGCUUGCUCCUGGUGGCGAGUGGCGAACGGGUGAGUAAUACAUCGGAACGUACCCUGAAGUGGGGGAUAACGUAGCGAAAGUUACGCUAAUACCGCAUAUUCUGUGAGCAGGAAAGAGGGGGAUCGCAAGACCUCUUGCUUUAGGAGCGGCCGAUGUCGGAUUAGCUAGUUGGUGAGGUAAAGGCUCACCAAGGCGACGAUCCGUAGCGGGUCUGAGAGGAUGAUCCGCCACACUGGGACUGAGACACGGCCCAGACUCCUACGGGAGGCAGCAGUGGGGAAUUUUGGACAAUGGGCGCAAGCCUGAUCCAGCCAUGCCGCGUGAGUGAAGAAGGCCUUCGGGUUGUAAAGCUCUUUCGGUGGGGAAGAAAUUGCUUCGGUUAAUACCUGGAGUAGAUGACGGUACCCGCAUAAGAAGCACCGGCUAACUACGUG
rnacentral:rRNA from 1 species